UACGUAGGGUGCGAGCGUUGUCCGGAAUUAUUGGGCGUAAAGAGCUUGUAGGCGGUUUGUCGCGUCUGCCGUGAAAAUUCGAGGCUCAACCUCGAACUUGCGGUGGGUACGGGCAGACUAGAGUGUGGUAGGGGAGACUGGAAUUCCUGGUGUAGCGGUGAAAUGCGCAGAUAUCAGGAGGAACACCGAUGGCGAAGGCAGGUCCCUGGGCCACUACUGACGCUGAGAAGCGAAAGCAUGGGGAGCGAACAGG
rnacentral:rRNA from 1 species